ACCGCGGGGGGGGCCAAUAAUGCAAGUCGAGCGGACCGACGGGAGCUUGCUCCCUUAGGUCAGCGGCGGACGGGUGAGUAACACGUGGGUAACCUGCCUGUAAGACUGGGAUAACUCCGGGAAACCGGGGCUAAUACCGGAUGCUUGAUUGAACCGCAUGGUUCAAUCAUAAAAGGUGGCUUUUAGCUACCACUUACAGAUGGACCCGCGGCGCAUUAGCUAGUUGGUGAGGUAACGGCUCACCAAGGCGACGAUGCGUAGCCGACCUGAGAGGGUGAUCGGCCACACUGGGACUGAAACACGGCCCAAACUCCUACGGGAGGCAGCAGUAGGGAAUCUUCCGCAAUGGACGAAAGUCUGACGGAACAACGCCGCGUGAGUGAUGAAGGUUUUCGGAUCGUAAAACUCUGUUGUUAGGGAAGAACAAGUACCGUUCGAAUAGGGCGGUACCUUGACGGUACCUAACCAGAAAGGCACGGCUAACUACCUGCCAGCAGCCGCGGUAAUACGUAGGUGGCAAGCGUUGUCCGGAAUUAUUGGGCGUAAAGCGCGCGCAGGCGGUUUCUUAAGUCUGAUGUGAAACCCCCCGGCUCAACCGGGGAGGGUCAUUGUAAACUGGGGAACUUGAGUGCUUAAGAAGAGAAGGGAAUUCCACGUGUAGCGGUGAAAUGGGUACGGAUGGAGA
rnacentral:rRNA from 1 species